AAUGAACGCUGGCGGCGCGCCUAAUACAUGCAAGUCGAGCGAGAAGACGUAGCAAUACGUUUGUAAAGCGGCGAACGGGUGAGGAAUACAUGGGUAACCUACCCUAGAGUGGGGAAUAACUAGCCGAAAGGUUAGCUAAUACCGCGUACGCUCCUUGGACUUCGGUUCAGGGAGGAAAGCGAUGCCGAGGGUAUCGCGCUCUUGGAUGGGCUCAUGUCCUAUCAGCUGUUGGUGAGGUAACGGCUCGCCAAGGCUUCGACGGGUAGCUGGUCUGAGAGGACGAUCAGCCACACUGGCACUGCGACACGGGCCAGACUCCUACGGGAGGCAGCAGUAAGGAAUAUUGCGCAAUGGGCGAAAGCCUGACGCAGCGACGCCGCGGUGGGGGA
rnacentral:rRNA from 1 species